AUGGGCUCUGCAUGUUGGGUAAUGUAGAGACUGAAAGCAAAUCCUGGAUGGGUCCGUGUCUUUCCAGGGAGGAAGGAGAGUCUGACUUCCUGUCUGCUGUGUGGCAGCAGGCUCUGCAGUGGCCUCUGCGUCCUUCCCACCGACGAAGGACCGGAGAGGACACUGAGGCACAGGUGCUAUGUGGAGAGCUUGUUUUGUUUUUUAAAUUUAUUUUGCAUGUACCCAUGUAUAUGGGUAUAUAUGUAUAUGUGUUUGUCAUGAUGCACACUUGUGUAUAUGUGUGUGUGUGUGAGUGUGUGCAGGUCAGAAGACAACUUGUAGGCGUUCUCUCCUUCACGUUGUGGGUCCCAGGGCAUCAGGCUUAGCAGCAGGCACCUUUAUCUCCUGAGCAUCGCGGGGCUCAGGCAUGGCCUUGUCUCCUGUAACUUGCUGACUCAUCUCAGAAUCUACCGUCUUCACCGUGUCCUGCUUCCCUGUCGCUGGUGCUGUGGAAUCCCCUCAUCUCCUCAGGUAAGCAGGAUUACCAUAACUCCAUGCACCGUAAGGAUCAGCUGAGAACCAAGAGGCUGACCGCAAACACAAACACAAUUACACUGUUUAUGGCCUGGCGUGAUGAUAUCCAAGGGCCUCGACACCAUCAUUUAGUUGACUAUGCUCUUGACGGUGAGAGUCUUUUCUUGUUUUUGUUUGUUUGUUUGGAGACAGGGUCUCACUAUGUAGCCCUGGUUAGCCUGGAACUUCUCUUUGUAGACCAGGCUGACCUUGAGCUCACAGAGAUCCUCUUGCCUCUGCUAGCGAGUGUUAGGAUUAAAGGCGUGCAUUGGCACACCCAGAAAGAGGGUUUAGCAGAAAGUUCUACUAGAUGGCUUUCCCCCUUCAUGAGUUCUGCUGAGAGUGUGGGCAAUUCGUCCCAUUGAGAGGCCUCAGGCCCAGGCUCAGAAGCUAUAUUAGCAGUAUCUUGCCUAUGGCCAGAGCACAGCUUACCUGGACUGAAAGGCCUCAACAUUGUCCUCCUCACCCAUACUCUCUUCCCCCAACACAUAGGACUACUUGGGAUCUCUUUCCCCCUCCUUUCUCAUCUUUCCUUAAUGGUUUCAAUGUCAGUACAGGUAGGGCUGCUCCUGGGAGGAGUCCCUUCCCCCUGGCCUGCUUAGCGCUCCUCUUGGUCACCUGCAGAAUGUCUGCUCAACACCCUAAUUUAUGUGCUUGGAUAUGCAUGUUGGUCCUCGGGUAUCUUCCAGUGACAGACACCAAGUUAGAUGGCUCACCGUGCAAGGAUGCUCAGCUGGGAAAUCUAGGAUCUGACCAGCACUGUCUACUUGGUCCCAGGAUACCCUUUGCUUGGGCUCAGACUGACUUCCAACAUGCUGUAUAGUCAAGGGUGAUCCUGAACUUCUGGUCCUCCUGUCUCUACCUCCCGAUUACUGGGAUUACAGGUGUUUAGAUACCACCACGUAGCUUAUACCAUCCUGGGACUAGAACCCAGGACUUCAUGCAUACCAGGCAAAUACUCUACCAACUGAGUUACAUUCCCUAGGUCUACCUGAGUUCUUUUCUUGGCCUCUUUGUCAUUCCUCACCUCUUGUGAAGCCUGAAACCCUAACUCCAUCUUGAUUCUGAUUCACCCAGCAGGUCUAGAUAGAACUGUUCCUCUAUAUAAACAGACCAAACUCUUUCAUUUGGAAUCAGGGUAGGGUUAUUAUGCUUAGCAAUAAAAAUAGAGUGUUCCCAGUUAAAAUGUUAGAGAAACAACAACUGUUUCUAUGUAGCACAGGCUAGCCUCAAACUCACAGUGAUCCCCUUGCCUCGGCUUUCCAAGUACUGGGCAUGAAGGUCUGAACUGCCACACCUGGCUAGCAUCUAUAUAUAGCUCGUCUCUGGGCGACAUGAGACUCUAGGCUAAAAAACAAAACAACCCUCCAAAAAGAUAAAGAGGUAAAGUGAUUUGAGAAACGUCAUUCAUCAUGGGUGUUGUGGGACAGAAAGACAGAAUGUGUGCGGUACAGACACUGCAUGGGGUUUUGAUUAGUGUGAUUUAAGGGUGCUGACUUAGGGAGUGGGAUAGGAGCGAUGGAGGCCCAGAUGGGAACCUGGAGGACGUGGCCACCUGGGCCGGGGUGGUGCCCUGCAGUGUCAGGGGCAGAGAAUGUUAUAGGAAGAGCUGACUGACCACACGCACAGGGAGGAUUCAGUGAGCCCAAACUUGGUGAAGAGGUUGAGUUGUGUGGUGGUAUUCAGGUGGGCAGCGAGGGCUUGGCUUUAGAAGGGAGAGUGCAGCACAGGGCUGAGUCUGAAAGCCAGUGACCUGUCCAUCUGGGAACGAUCGAGGGUAAUGAGAAACACAGAUGUGAGGCCUGGAAAAACCAAUAGUUCGCUUGGCAAAUGGCCUACUGUGCAAUCAUGAGGACCACUGUGCAACCUAGGGUUCGAGUUCAGACACCCAGGACUUCUGUUACAAGUCAGUUGUGUAACCCCAUUGCUCCUGUGAGGGGAAACAGAAGGAUCCCCUAAACCUUCUGGGCUGUCUAACCUGGUGUACACAAUGGCAAAGCAAUGUAGAGGGCUGGUCAGAUGGUUCAGUCGGUAAAGGUCCUGACCUCCAAGCCUGAUGACCUGAGCUCAGUCCAUGGAACUCAUGAUGGAAGGACCAGGAGAGGACCAGCUCCUGCAUGUUGUCCUCUGAUGUCCAUGAACAUGUGUAUAUCACA